ACUUCGCCGGCGAGGCCGAGGUAUGCCACGCCGCCGCGGCUGGCGCGGUCGUAGCCGACGAUCGACUGGCCGUGGCUCGGCGCCUCCGCGAGGCGC
rnacentral:tRNA from 1 species